AUACGUAUGUCGCAAGCGUUAUCCGGAUUUAUUGGGCGUAAAGCGCGUCUAGGCAGCUUGGUAAGUCUGAUGUGAAAAUGCGGGGCUCAACCCCGUAUUGCGUUGGAAACUGCUAAACUAGAGUACUGGAGAGGGAGGCGGGACUACAAGUGGAGAGGGGAAAUUCGUAGAUAUUUGGAGGAAUGCCGAUGGGAAAGCCAGCCUACUGGACAGAUCCUGACGCUAAAGCGCGAAAGCGUGGGUAGCAAACAGGAUUAGAUACCCUGGUAGUCCACGCCGUAAACGAUGAUUACUAGGUGUUGGGGGUCGAACCUCAGCGCCCAAGCUAACGCGAUAAGUAAUCCGCCUGGGGAGUACGUACGCAAGUAUGAAACUCAAAUGAAUUGACGGG
rnacentral:rRNA from 1 species